rnacentral:lncRNA from 1 species
GAAGAAACAAAUGUCAGGGUCAGAGUGCACAUGGGAGAUGAAACUGAGAUGCUGGUCAGGUGGAGGUAUCUGUGUGGACUCGAGUUAGCUUGGAUGCAGCAGGUGAGAACCGGAAACUUGAGCCUGUGGCAAAGGAGGAGAAAGAAAAAAAUUCUGUUCCUGAACCGUGGAGUUAAAUGAAACUGAAGAGCCUAAGUAGUGUACCUAGGUGGAGAUAUAAAUGGCACAGAGAGAAUGAACAGUCCUGAGUGACUCAGAAGGGAAAACAAUAAGUGUCUUGCUGUAACACAGAAAAUACCAUCUCUUCAGAGACAAGAAGAACAACACAGGUGGCGCCUCUGGAUCCUUGACAGAUACCGUGCAGCUCUGACAGAUGGGCCAUGGAGAGAGUGUGCAGGGCCUGGGAUUUGGGAGAUGCGGGUUCAUAAAGGAAGUAUGGAUUUAGGAAGAGGCCAAAGGCAGAACGGCACCAAGCAAGAAGGGGAGUGGGUAUCAGGGCUGAAGAUAACACCCAGACAGAACAGGUCCAUGCUUCACAGAGAGAGGUACCAUAG